UCAUUAUCACUAAUCAAGCCCGGCUUGCUGUUGGACCUCUUGUCGCUAAAAGACAGGUCCUAAAGAUAAUGACGGUGUCAGUUGGACCCUAGAUGCAACGAGCUUUUAUUAGCACGCAUGUUAGUGGCCUUUUGACCCGGUCUUUUUAACCAAUUUCUAAGGUUGACCUCGGAUCAGGUAGGAAUACCCGCUGAACUUAA
rnacentral:misc_RNA from 1 species